UUUAUUUUUCAGAAAGGGGAAAGCAGAAUCAAACGUUGGUCAUUUGUAAUCUGGAAAUUGCAGACUUUUGAGAGAGAACAAUUAACAAAGAUUUAGAUGAAAAAGGUUUUAAGUUAAAGCUUUGUAUUUUUUAAAAAAAUAACUUGUUUUUAUUACCCAGGCUAACAUGAUAAAAUCAGGGAAGUUGUUUUAAAACUAAUUAUAUAAUUAAAGUCUUAAUCAUCUUUUUUAGAAAAAUUCAAUGAAUUCAUCCCUUUGCAGGGGGAAAUAGAAUCAGUAUUUUAAAUUGAAUAAUUUACUGUUUUUAAGAUACAAGGGUUGCUGCAUGUGAAAAAUUCUCUUCUAUGGGGGAUGUGUAGAGAACUAACAAUAUGGACUACGAGGAGGGUUGAAGAGAAACCUGGGUUUUAUCGCAGCUUUCCUGUAUUCCACUCCAAGUGUGGAUGGUACAUAUUGUGGGGGAAAUAGUGGAGGAAGUAAGGGAGAUUAUAGGACAUUGAGAAUUUGAAAAAUACUGUAGACCCCUUUCUCCAAUAAAAUGAAUUUAGUCAUCUUUGGGUGAUUUUAUAUUCAGUGUUCGAUUUACUACUUGUUGAGAAAAGUCAUAGCAUUUUAGAGCUGGGAAAUGUCUUAGAAUAUCUAGUUAAGUGAUUUUUUUAAAUUGAGGUAACUUGACAUAUAAAUUAUAUUACUUUUCAUAUGAUUAAAGAAAAAGCUUUUUGCCCCAAGGAUAGAACCUUAAAUGAAACAAAUGGAAGUGGAGGUGCUCUUGUGGAAUAAAGACUGGGAUCCUGUACCCCUGCUCACUUGGCCUCUACCCUCUGUAUAGAUAGUUCCUGAGUUUGAAAACUACUACUGUUGAUCAAACUUCAAUUUUAUUUUUUUUAAAUGAGGAUUUGGGGGAAGUGACUUGUCCAAGGUCAUAUGCUAGUUAGUGACUGACAUAGGGGCUACAGCUCAAAUCUUAAGCUUGGAGGCAAAGGAUUUGACCAGUGAUCAAAAAAGAUUUGCUCUUCGUAAUCGGAGAAUGGGGUGGGGGGAAGGACUGAGACUGGAAUCUGAGGGGAGAUCUGUUUGGAGACCGAAUUAUAAUGAGUCCCUGAAAGAAGACCUCUUGCUGUGUGCUCAGCAGGUGGAAAGAGCUGUUACCCAGGUAAAUUUAAUAAGACUUGGUCACUGCUAGACGGUGGGAGGGCAGUGAAAGAAGGGGGGAAAUGGAGGGAUUCCACAUUUCUGGUUCCACUGACAGGCUGAAUGGUGAGGUGGUAGAUAAGUUGACUUUGAGAUGCCUGUGUGACUCCCAUUUGCAGAUGCCUAGUUUUCUUGGAGUAGGCAUAGGCAUGGAAGUCUGGGGGGUAAUUCGGCAUAAUGUGUUAGAUCACCAACAUUCAAGUAGGAGGAAAAGGGGGAGAGGGUAAGCAUAGGGUCAGUAACAUGGUGAAGAGGAGAGAGUCACUGGUGCCAAAUGUUGCAUAAAGUUCAAUUACAGUAAAGAAAGACUUAGAUUUUACAGUGAGCAUUUCAUACAAUGCCCUUUGUGGGAACAUUUUCAAUGGAAUACAAGAGACAGAACUCUCCAAAAAAUGGGGUGAAGAGGUGAAGACAUUUAAACAGUAAGUAUAGAUUAUUUGGGGAGCUUUGCUCUGAAGGACAGAAGAGGUGGUAACCAACCACAGACAUAGGAGUGGGGGACAGGAUUUUUAAAAAGAUGUGAGACUUAAGCUUAUUUCUAGAUAGGGGAAGGAGUCCCCCGUGUGGAGGAGGAAAAUACCAGCAAGGGAAUGAAUCCCAGGAAUGGAGAUUCCUGCAGCGGAAGGAAAUGGCCUGUUAAACAAGGAUGAAAAGCACUAGUUGGUGUACUUACAUGCAGUAUUCAGCCUACCCAUGUUGAGCCACUGACGUUUCUUUUAAAGGCUAUAAAGGGAAAUGUAACCUGACUCUGAUACUUGCAUCAAGCUCCUAUAAAUAAAAGUUGCACUUAAGGCUUUAUCAAGAUAAAAUGUACAUACAAAAGUUAAAUUUAAUCCGUUUUUUCUAUGCAUACUGAAAACACCUAUUGUACUAAGGACAUAUUUAUUGGUUCACAUAAACAGGUGAUUAUUUGUCCCUAGUCCAGCUGGAAGAGAAGACCUUUCAGGCAAAAGAAUUACCACUUAGCUCCAGAGAAAUUCUGAACUAGCACUUAGCUGUCUGUCUUCCUUCCUCAAGUAGUCUCCUCCACUUUAUCCCUUCUCAGCAUUUUGCAUAACAAUUCUCCCUGUCGGGAGGGAGCGGUGGGAAAGAAGUUAAGGAUAAAAUUAGUAUAGCUGAAAAAAUCUACUGAAAGUCUGGGGGCUUGAGUUCUAUUCCGCUUGUGCCUUUAGCCAGUUUUGUGACUUUGAACCAGUCUUUGGCCUUCGUUUCCUCAUCUCUAUAAUAAAUGCUCGUGAGAUCUUUUGAAGACAGAACACUAUGCUUUUUUAAAUUCCUAUUUUGUGCAGCAUGUUAUGGAAGAGGCACUGGAUUAAAGUCUUAAAAUUAAAAAAUAAUGCGUCUCCAAAUUACUAACUUGAGAAUUCCUCGAAGAGCACUGUAUUGAUUUUCUUUACUAACAAAAGAAUUUUAAUGACACCGUGGGUACCGAGAACAGUUUAUUUAGUUACAUUCACCCACCAUCAGCUGAUAUUUAGCUGACUGCGGAGAAGUCAUGUGUUUUGAAUGUAAGAAUAGGCACUUUCAGAUGCUCUCUGAGUGCCAGUAAUUGGAGUAAGCCUUAAUCCACUCGCCAAAAAUAACUAAACAUACGUUUCUUCUUACUAGUCUAUUAUUAAUUUUACUUCAGAUUCAGACUUACAAAUAUUCACUAAGAGAAAAAAUGAGCUCAUUGUUCAAUUUUUUAAAGCCAUUUCUAAAAAUAGGGAGUAUACUUCAGGUUCUCUUAGUAAUCUUUUACUAAAUCACUAUAGCAAUUUUGAUCUCUCUUCAAAUCUGUUAAAAUAUUGCUCUGAAUAUGUCUUAAUUUUUGCCAGGUGCUGGGUUACUUUAUUUAAUACACUUCCUGGCUAUAGUUUUUAAUAUAAAACUUGGGCUCUGGAGUCAAAUCACUGUUCCUGGGGAGGUUGCUCAAUUAAGCCUGGGUCUCUUAAAUGCAAGUAAUAAAAGUAAUAAUGGUAUCUCUGGAAGGGUUUUUGUGAGGAUUAAAAUGGUAAAAUAUGAGGACUCAAUGAAUGUUACCCGUUAUUAUUACGUUUCUCUUUCUCCCGUAAGCUUUCUGGAAAGAAGUACCUUCUUAUAAUCCUGAUAACUAGAUGCUCACCUACAAUAAAGAAUUCAUUUAAUUUGGUUGCUCUUUUACCUUCUGAGCAAGAGCAAACAUUA